UGAUGAGAAAUUUGAGCCUGCGGGUCCUAUAAGGGAAUGUUCUACCUGUCUUGUGUUUGAAUACUUCAAUGAACUUUGGGGAGUAGUCUUGGAUGUUGACGACUAUGCUGAUUACUAUGAUCCUUCUUACGGCCUGGAUGGAGAUGAUGAGACUGAUUUUGAAGUGCACGAUAGGUUGAUUGGCAAGAGGUUGCGCAGGUACCUGAAGAUGGAAUAAAAGUGAGAUCAACCUGGAUGUUAUGAGAUGACCAAAACAAGAAGAUAUGGUAUUGAUAUUCAUCUUUUGCAAAGCGUGGGCGGUGGUGCAUUAUCUGUAAUGGAGAAGCGAAUUAGUUGCAACUUGAAGGCCAAAUUGGGGUGGUGGUCAUCUCCAGUGUUCGGAAGGUGUUUAUUUGGGGUGGAUAAAUCAACUGAAAGAACCAAAAGGUCUGUCCUUAGACAAUGGGCUCAGAAGUCAGAAGGCACCCAGCUACUUAUUCAAAAAGGUUGCAACUCUUGGAUGGCAGCAUUUCAAAUCUGGACAUAGAUGUCACUGUAACUGUUUAAAAUUUACUAGUCCACUCCUCUAUUUUUUUACCUUCCACGUUCAUUCCCUAUCCCCUGCAUGUACUGGUUUUUGUACUUCAGCAUAAAGAAUAAGUAGAUUUAUAAGUUUUUGUACUUCAGCAUAAAGAAUAAGUAGCAGAUGAUUUGUAAGUCUAUGGGAGCUGCUUUA